rnacentral:rRNA from 7 species
CACACGACUCUCGGCAACGGAUAUCUCGGCUCUCGCAUCGAUGAAGAACGUAGCGAAAUGCGAUACCUGGUGUGAAUUGCAGAAUCCCGCGAACCAUCGAGUCUUUGAACGCAAGUUGCGCCCGAGGCCUUUUGGCUAAGGGCACGCCUGCCUGGGCGUCACGC